rnacentral:lncRNA from 1 species
GAGGUAGAAAAUUAUACUGGCAUAACUAAAGAAUAAGAAAUUGAGGGACUUUAAAUAUCUCUCCCACAACCUUUUUGUGUGUUUUUUUUUCAGGCUUUGAUAUUGGGGUACUCUAGUUUCUUGAGACAGAUAUGAAUUUCUUUAAUGGGAGACUACAGAUAAGAAGAUAAUAGAGAAUCCAGAAAAUCACCAAUCUGAGGCUUGGUUAAUUACAUGCAUCUCCAAUCUUAUUCAAGUAUGCUCUGCUCAAGCUGGGAUAAUGAGAGUUCUCAAGCUACAUUUCUGGAAGUGUUCUCAACCUAGAACUUCUGUGAAGACAACCAUGAGACAGACAUGAGGAAUCCCAGAACGUAAUAGAGGGACUUUCAAAUUUAUAAAUUUCACGAGUUUAUGGAGCUUAGAGGUAAAAUCAAGGAAAACAAUGCAUGUUCCUAUAGAGAGCGCCUCAUGGAAACAAGGGAUACUUCUUUAGUCACAUGGGAUUACAUUUUCACCUGGAAGAACCAUUUUUUUCCUCUCUGGAGGAAGCCACGAGCUUUUUUAUUCACAAAAAGAGAGAGGAGGCAGAAGUGACUUCAGAGUGCACAUGGAGAGGACAGAGACAAGGACCCAGGACGUACAACUGGACGACAGUCAGCUGACAAAGAUGUCCUUGGACUAUGAUCCUCUGGAUCAGUUGUGAAAAGCCUUUGAUAACACUCUCCAAAUCUCUACAUUUGUAAUGCACUGGAAUUCCUUUGUGAAAGGGGUUAUAUUUUGAAUAAAGUUUACCCAGAGGUCA